GACGAACCGAGCGAACGUUGUUCGGAAUCACUGGGCUUAAAGGGCGCGUAGGCGGGCACUCAAGUCUGUGGUGAAAUCCGGCAGCUUAACUGUCGAACUGCCGUGGAUACUGGGUGUCUCGAGGGAGGUAGGGGCGUGCGGAACUGAUGGUGGAGCGGUGAAAUGCGUUGAUAUCAUCAGGAACUCCGGUGGCGAAGGCGGCACGCUGGACACGUAUUGACGCUGAGGUGCGAAAGCGUGGGGAGCAAACAGG
rnacentral:rRNA from 1 species